CGCGAUUCGCCCUUCGGGGUGCACCAGGCGCGAAAACUUUCAAUGCGGGAAACCGUGAUAAGGGAACUCCGAGUGCCCGUAAAAUCGGGCUGUCCAUCUGUUUAAAUAACAGGUGAAGAAAGGGCCGGGCAAGACCGGUGCCAGCCGCCGCGGUAAUACCGGCGGCUCGAGUGGUGGCCACUAUUACUGGGCUUAAAGCGUUCGUAGCUGGUCUGUUAAGUCUCUGGGGAAAUCUACUGGCUUAACCAAUAGGCGUUUCAGGGAUACUGGCAGACUAGGGACCGGGAGAGGUGAGGGGUACUCCAGGGGUAGGAGUGAAAUCCUGUAAUCCUUGGGGGACCACCUGUGGCGAAGGCGCCUCACCAGAACGGCUCCGACAGUGAGGGACGAAAGCUGGGGGAGCAAACCGGAUUAGAUACCCGGGUAGUCCCAGCCGUAAACGAUGCGCGUUAGGUGUAUCGGUGACCACGAGUCACCGAGGUGCCGAAGAGAAAUCGUGAAACGUGCCGCCUGGGAAGUACGGUCGCAAGGCUGAAACUUAAAGGAAUUGGCGGGGGAGCAC
rnacentral:rRNA from 1 species